rnacentral:rRNA from 1 species
UGGGGAAUAUUGCACAAUGGAGGGAACUCUGAUGCAGCAACGCCGCGUGCGGGAUGACGGCCUUCGGGUUGUAAACCGCUUUCAGCCAUGACGAAGCUUUUGUGACGGUAGUGGUAGAAGAAGCACCGGCUAACUACGUGCCAGCAGCCGCGGUGAUACGUAGGGUGCGAGCGUUGUCCGGAAUUAUUGGGCGGAAAGAGCUUGUAGGCGGUUUGUCGCGUCGAUAGUGUAAACACGCACCUUAACUGUGUGCCUGCUGUCGAUACGGGCUGACUAGGGGAUGGUAGGGGAGAAUGGAAUUCCCGGUGGAGCGGUGGAAUGCGCAGGUAUCGGGAGGAACACCAGUGGCGAAGGCGGUUCUCUGGACCUUUCCUGACGCUGAGAAGCGAAAGCGUGGGUAGCAAACAGG